rnacentral:rRNA from 1 species
UUCCGGUUGAUCCUGCCGGACCCUACCGCUAUCGGGAUAGGACUAAGACAUGCAAGUUGAGCGUCUUGAACAACGGCGAGGCGCGGCGUACGGCUCAGUAACACGUAGCUAACCUACCCUUAGGACAGAGAUAAACCCGGGAAACUGGGGUUAAUAUCUGAUUGGUGAGGAAAUCUGGAAUGAUUCUUCACCGAAAAGAUUUUGAUGCCAUGUCCUUCAAAGUCGCCUAAGGAUGGGGCCGCGGUCGAUCAGGUUGUUGGUGAGGUAAUGGCCCACCAAGCCUUUGACCGAUACGGGCCGUGAGAGCGGGAGCCCGGAGAUGGGCACUGAGAUAAGGGCCCAGACCCUAUGGGGUGCAGCAGUCGCGAAACCUCCGCAAUGCGCGAAAGCGUGACGGGGUUACCCCGAGUGCCAUCCGCUGAGGGUGGCUUUUCUUCAGUGUAAUGAGCUGGAGGAAUAAGGGGAGGGCAAGACUGGUGUCAGCCGCCGCGGUAAUACCAGCUCCUCGAGUGGUAGGGAUAAUUAAUGGGCUUAAAGCGUCCGUAGCCGGUUUAGUAAGUUCCUGGUAAAAUCGGGUAGCUUAACUAUCCGCAUGCUAGGAAUACUGCUAUACUAGAGGGCGGGAGAGGUCUGAGGUACUAUAGGGGUAGGGGUGAAAUCUUAUAAUCCUUGUAGGACCACCAGUGGCGAAGGCGUCAGACUGGAACGCGCCUGACGGUGAGGGACGAAAGCCAGGGGAGCGAACCGGAUUAGAUACCCGGGUAGUCCUGGCCGUAAACGAUGCAUACUAGGUGAUGGUACGGCCGUGAGCCGUAUCAGUGCCGUAGGGAAACCGUUAAGUGUGCCGCCUGGGAAGUACGGUCGCAAGGCUAAAACUUAAAGGAAUUGGCGGGGGAGCACACAAGGGGUGAAGCCUGCGGUUCAUUGGAUCACGC